rnacentral:rRNA from 1 species
GCGAACGCUGGCGGCAGGCUUAACACAUGCAAGUCGAACGGGCGUAGCAAUACGUCAGUGGCAGACGGGUGAGUAACGCGUGGGAACAUACCUCUUGGUUCGGAACAACACAGGGAAACUUGUGCUAAUACCGGAUAAGCCCUUACGGGGAAAGAUUUAUCGCCGAGAGAUUGGCCCGCGUCUGAUUAGCUAGUUGGUAGGGUAAUGGCCUACCAAGGCGACGAUCAGUAGCUG